AUACGUAGGGUGCAAGCGUUACUCGGAAUCACAGGGCGUAAAGCGCGCGCAGGCGGGCUGAUAAGUUGGAUGUGAAAGCCUACGGCUCAACCGUAGAACUGCAUCCAAAACUGUCAGUCUAGAGUCUGGGAGGGGAAGAUGGAAUUAGUUGUGUAGGGGUAAAAUCCGUAGAGAUAACUAGGAAUACCAAAAGCGAAGGCGAUCUUCUGGAACAGUACUGACGCUGAGGCGCGAAAGCGUGGGGAGCAAACAGGAUUAGAAACCCUAGUAGUCC
rnacentral:rRNA from 1 species